GAAUAUGAUGAUUGAUAAUUGUCGCCCCAGGCUUAACUUGCAUCAAAACAUUAGUUGUAACGUGGUGAUUGACAUUUUCAAAUUCUGAUUC